rnacentral:misc_RNA from 1 species
ACAUCAUGCACCAAGGGAUACUCACUUGUAUACUCUCACCAGUUCAAACUACAGCAACCUACUACUAAAUUCCUCAAACUCCACAAAUCAUCUAUUUUGAAUAAUAACACAAAUUCCUCAAAUGAUUAAACACGAAUCUAUUUACCAUUGAAACCAGUAUUAUUAAAUCAGGCACGGAGUUGACCCGGUGAAGGGACCGAGUGAAUGGGUUAG